rnacentral:tRNA from 1 species
UCCCUGUAGCUCAAAUGGUAAAGAACCUGCCUUCAAUGCAGGAGACCAGGGUUCAAUUCCUGGGUGGGGAA